GAUGAACGCUGGCGGCGUGCCUAAUACAUGCAAGUCGAGCGAACAGACGAGGAGCUUGCUCCUCUGACGUUAGCGGCGGACGGGUGGGUAACACGUGGAUAACCUACCUAUAAGACUGGGAUAACUUCGGGAAACCGGAGCUAAUACCGGAUAACAUGUUGAACCGCAUGGUUCAACAGUGAAAGAUGGUCUUGCUGUCACUUAUAGAUGGAUCCGCGCCGCAUUAGCUAGUUGGUAAGGUAACGGCUUACCAAGGCAACGAUGCGUAGCCGACCUGAGAGGGUGAUCGGCCACACUGGAACUGAGACACGGUCCAGACUCCUACGGGAGGCAGCAGUAGGGAAUCUUCCGCAAUGGGCGAAAGCCUGACGGAGCAACGCCGCGUGAGUGAAGAAGGUCUUCGGAUCGUAAAACUCUGUUAUUAGGGAAGAACAAAUGUGUAAGUAACUAUGCACGUCUUGACGGUACCUAAUCAGAAAGCCACGGCUAACUACGUG
rnacentral:rRNA from 1 species